rnacentral:tRNA from 1 species
GGUUUAGCUCAGUGGUUCCAGUGUCUGCCUCGCAAGCACAAGGUUCCGAGUUCAAUCCUCGGUACCA